UACGGAGGGUGCGAGCGUUGUCCGGAAUCACUGGGCGUAAAGGGCGCGUAGGCGGCCUGAUAAGUAGGGGGUGAAAUCCUGCGGCUUAACCGCAGGGCUGCCUUCUAAACUGUCAGGCUAGAGCACAGUAGAGGCAGGUGGAAUUCCCGGUGUAGCGGUGGAAUGCGUAGAGAUCGGGAGGAACAUCAGUGGCGAAGGCGGCCAUCUGGGACAACACUGACGCUGAGGCACGAAAGCGUGGGGAGCAAACAGGG
rnacentral:rRNA from 1 species